GAUGAACGCUGGCGGCGUGCCUAAUACAUGCAAGUCGAGCGAACAGAUGAGGAGCUUGCUCCUCUGACGUUAGCGGCGGACGGGUGAGUAACACGUGGAUAACCUACCUAUAAGACUGGGAUAACUUCGGGAAACCGGAGCUAAUACCGGAUAAUAUAUUGAACAGCAUGGUUCAAUAGUGAAAGACGGUUUUGCUGUCACUUAUAGAUGGAUCCGCGCCGCAUUAGCUAGUUGGUAAGGUAACGGCUUACCAAGGCGACGAUGCGUAGCCGACCUGAGAGGGUGAUCGGCCACACUGGAACUGAGACACGGUCCAGACUCCUACGGGAGGCAGCAGUAGGGAAUCUUCCGCAAUGGGCGAAAGCCUGACGGAGCAACGCCGCGUGAGUGAUGAAGGUCUUCGGAUCGUAAAACUCUGUUAUUAGGGAAGAACAAAUGUGUAAGUAACUAUGCACGUCUUGACGGUACCUAAUCAGAAAGCCACGGCUAACUACGUG
rnacentral:rRNA from 1 species